AUGGGCUGGAGAACGAGGGGAGCCGCGGUUCAGCCAUGUCUGAUGACCAGAGUACCAAGCAUGAGGCCCUAGUCAGGACAAAGGCUGGAGGAGUCUCCCAGUCGUGAUGGAUUCCCCUGUUAUCUUUCAAUCAUUAUAGCUGCUCAGUCCAUGUCAUCGUCAUGAUUGCCCCAACACAGAAAGUCUGAUUUCCUCCAUUGUGGUAAUUACCACUGAUCCUGUGCUGACAAGAUGCCUGAUAAGGAAUCGCUGAGGAGGUGAAGAGAAGGGCAAGUUUAGGGAUUUCACUUCAAGGAAGCCAUUCUCUUUGAAGGGCUGGAUAUUUGAUCUGAUUCCCUUUACCUUCAGAUCUUUAAUCCUCAAACAGAAUGGUAACCUUGGUAUUCACAUCAGAAUGCGCAGCAGCGAUCCAGGAAUAUCUUGCUAGGAUGUAACAAAGCUAAAAAUCCCGCCAGAACCAAACACUGGCCACAGCUUAGCCUGCGUCCAGGUGGGAGACACAAUGACUUGAAACUGGCUU
rnacentral:lncRNA from 1 species